rnacentral:lncRNA from 1 species
AUCUACUUGACCUCCUCACAGUCUCCCUUUCUAUAGUGCAAGCUCGACUAGACAGUUUUGACAAUAGUGAUAUUAAGGCUCUGCUUGGUGCCAUGCAAUCUGCAUUUGGGGUGCCAGCUAGCCACAGGACUCAUCUGGAAAAAAAACAACCGCCCAACCCUGAGAACUUUGGGAUUCAUGGGAAAUUACAGUUCCCCUGAUGAUGCAGGACCGGACCAGGAUUUCACUCAUCAACUGGCCUAGAUUAAGGAGAAAGAAAUCUACAUUUCUGAACCUGGUAAUGUCUGAGCAUAGUCAUGGAAGAAAGAGCUGGCCUAUAAGUGUCCAUUAAGAACACAAUAAAAUAUCUUCAUGAAUGAUCCUCCAUUUGGAAACAAAUGCAUUUGGAUGAGGGACCAUCUCUCGAAGCUAAGGAUUAAAAUAUCGCUUCAGUACCACAAAGAAAUUAGGCUGUUCCUUUUGGAGUGUUUUAACAGUUAGCUGAGUGCUCCUCAGGAAGAAGCCACAUACCCGGAGCGUAACCAGGAGACAGUCAUGGAACCGUAACGCAGACCAUGGACUGCAGCAGCUUAGUUUGGAGCUGGGUCAAACCUCACAGUAAGGCUCCAUCUCAGGCCUGGCUGCAAAGUCAACAUCUCUCUGCAUCCAUGUUUUCACAUUUACCUUUCUGGAGUGGCAAUAGGAAAAUGUUUCCCUAAAAGAAAAGACAGUGAUGCUUUCAUCGAAAGAAAAAGUAAAGAACUAUUGUGUGUGCCUAACCAAUCUUACAGGGGAGAAAAGAUUUAUAUUAUCUUGAAAACAUAAUUUGGUCUUGUUCAGGCCAUUGGGGGAG